rnacentral:rRNA from 1 species
UAGGGAAUCUUCGGCAAUGGACGAAAGUCUGACCGAGCAACGCCGCGUGAGUGAAGAAGGUUUUCGGAUCGUAAAACUCUGUUGUUAGAGAAGAACAAGGACGUUAGUAACUGAACGUCCCCUGACGGUAUCUAACCAGAAAGCCACGGCUAACUACGUGCCAGCAGCCGCGGUAAUACGUAGGUGGCAAGCGUUGUCCGGAUUUAUUGGGCGUAAAGCGAGCGCAGGCGGUUUCUUAAGUCUGAUGUGAAAGCCCCCGGCUCAACCGGGGAGGGUCAUUGGAAACUGGGAGACUUGAGUGCAGAAGAGGAGAGUGGAGUUCCAUGUGUGGCGGUGAAAUGCGUAGAUAUAUGGAGGAACACCAGUGGCGAAAGGGGCUCUAUGGACGGUAACUGACAAUGAGGCUCGAAAGCGUGGGGAGCAAACAGG